rnacentral:rRNA from 1 species
UCGUAACAAGGUUUCCGUAGGUGAACCUGCGGAAGGAUCAUUACCGAGUGUAGGGUUCCUAGCGAGCCCAACCUCCCACCCGUGUUUACUGUACCUUAGUUGCUUCGGCGGGCCCGCCAUUCAUGGCCGCCGGGGGCUCUCAGCCCCGGGCCCGCGCCCGCCGGAGACACCACGAACUCUGUCUGAUCUAGUGAAGUCUGAGUUGAUUGUAUCGCAAUCAGUUAAAACUUUCAACAAUGGAUCUCUUGGUUCCGGCAUCGAUGAAGAACGCAGCGAAAUGCGAUAACUAGUGUGAAUUGCAGAAUUCCGUGAAUCAUCGAGUCUUUGAACGCACAUUGCGCCCCCUGGUAUUCCGGGGGGCAUGCCUGUCCGAGCGUCAUUGCUGCCCAUCAAGCACGGCUUGUGUGUUGGGUCGUCGUCCCCUCUCCGGGGGGGACGGGCCCCAAAGGCAGCGGCGGCACCGCGUCCGAUCCUCGAGCGUAUGGGGCUUUGUCACCCGCUCUGUAGGCCCGGCCGGCGCUUGCCGAACGCAAAUCAAUCUUUUCCAGGUUGACCUCGGAUCAG